rnacentral:rRNA from 1 species
CAGUCGCCGCGGGAAUACGAAGGGUGCAAGCGUUAAUCGGAAUUACUGGGCGUAAAGCGCGCGUAGGUGGUUUGGUAAGAUGGAUGUGAAAUCCCCGGGCUCAACCUGGGAACUGCAUCCAUAACUGCCUGACUAUAGUACGGUAGAGGGUGGUGGAAUUUCCUGUGUAGCGGUGAAAUGCGUAGAUAUAGGAAGGAACACCAGUGGCGAAGGCGACCACCUGGACUGAUACUGACACUGAGGUGCGAAAGCGUGGGGAGCAAACAGGAUUAGAUACCCGCGUAGUCCCUGUCUCUUAUAC